ACAGAGGUCCCAAGCGUUGUUCGGAUUCACUGGGCGUAAAGGGUGCGUAGGUGGCUGGGAAAGUUUGAUGUGAAAGCUCAGGGCUCAACCCUGAAAUGGCAUUGUAUACUACUUAGCUGGAGGUUUGGAGGGGGGACUGGAAUUCUCGGUGUAGCAGUGAAAUGCGUAGAUAUCGAGAGGAACACCAGUGGCGAAGGCGAGUCCCUGGACAACACCUGACACUGAGGCACGAAAGCUAGGGGAGCAAACAGGA
rnacentral:rRNA from 1 species